GGGGUUCGGCUGACGGCAGGCCCUCCGGCCUUGACCCGGACGGUGGAGGUUCGAGUCUUCCCACCCCCCG
rnacentral:tRNA from 1 species